rnacentral:misc_RNA from 1 species
AAGUCGUAACAAGGUCUCCGUUGGUGAACCAGCGGAGGGAUCAUUAAAGAGUUGAAAAACUCCAACCCCUGUGAACCUUACCUCUGUCGUUGCUUCGGCGGCUGGACGCCCCCCCUAACGGGUCGGCGGACGCCGCCGGAGGUCACAAACUCUGAAUUUUUAGUGUAUCUCUGAGCCUAAAAACAAAUAAUUAAAACUUUCAACAACGGAUCUCUUGGUUCUG